CCCGCAACGAGCGUCCCCUAGAUCUUAGUUGCCAUCAUUAAGUUGGGCACUCUCAGGUGACUGCCGGUGACAAACCGGAGGAAGGUGGUCUACGACGUCCAAUCAUCAUGCCCCUUAUGACCUGGGCUUCUCACGUGCUACAAUGGACGGUACAAAGAGCUGCAAGACCGCGAGGUGGAGCUAAUCUCAUAAAACCGUUCUCAGUUCGGAUUGUAGGCUGCAACUCUCCUACUUGAAGCUGGAAUCGCUUGUAAUCGCGGAUCAGCAUGCCGCGGUGAAUACUU
rnacentral:rRNA from 1 species